rnacentral:hammerhead_ribozyme from 1 species
AUCCAGGUGACGAGUGCCAAGCAGGAUGAAACGUGCGUCUUGGAU